GCCCCCAUCGUCUAGCGGUUAGGACAGCGCUCUUUCAAGGCGUAAACACCGGUUCGACUCCGGUUGGGGGCG
rnacentral:tRNA from 1 species